rnacentral:rRNA from 1 species
UGAGGAAUAUUGGACAAUGGAUGGAAAUCUGAUCCAGCCAUGCCGCGUGCAGGAAGACGGCCCUAUGGGUUGUAAACUGCUUUUAUACGGGAGCAAUAAGGUCUACGAGUAGGCCGAUGAGAGUACCGUAUGAAUAAGCACCGGCUAACUCCGUGCCAGCAGCCGUGGUAAUACGGAGGGUGCGAGCGUUAUCCGGAUUUAUUGGGUUUAAAGGGUGCGUAGGCGGUUUGAUAAGUCAGCGGUGAAAUAUUUCAGCUUAACUGAAAGGGUGCCGUUGAUACUGUCAGGCUUGAAUAUGGUUGCUGUGGGUGGAAUGUGUGGUGUAGCGGUGAAAUGCUUAGAUAUCACACAGAAUAUCGAUUGCGAAGGCAGCUCACAAAGCCAUUAUUGACGCUGAUGCACGAAAGUGUGGGGAUCAAACA